CGUCCUGCAGAAAGGAGCAACACCACGACUUUCUUCUCAAAGCAGUUUAUUCAGGAACCUUUCUUUCUGCAUGCAAGCAGCAAUCUCUCUUUUCUUCCCUUCCUCUCCCCAGCUCCCGCGCACACUCCCUUAUAUCCUCCCUCAAACCGCCUCCUCAGUCUAGGCUGCGUAAUCUCAGUUCAUAGGUCCACGUCACAUGGCCUGGUCUUGCAUCAUGGUGCGCCUGCGCAGCUCUCACAAUGGACGUGGCUAGUUUCAGGUGUGUGAGGAAGUCAGGUGCUAGUCAUGAGACUUAGCUGCAGUCCCGGGCGCCAUCUUGGGAUUGCCGCCACACCCGCUCCCCACAUCCAUUGUGACUGUAUAGCUCAGAAUGGUUCCCUACAGAGAGAGAGAGAGAGAGAGAGAGAGAGAGAGAGAGAGAGAGAGAGAGAGAGAGAGAGAGAGAGAGAGAGAGACAGAGAGAGACAGAGAGAGAGAGACAGAGAGAGAGAGACAGAGAGAGACAGAGAGAGCGCAGAAGAGAAGAACAGGCCAAUGCCAUGGUCCAGUGAAAGGAAUAUGGGAUUAAAGCAAAAGACCCAGAGAAGCGGCGGCUGUAAAUUCAAAAAGCUCUCUGACAGGGAAAGAGGCAUCAGUGGGGUUUACAAUUUAGCACCUACAUACUGAGAUAGUUUACAAAGACUUAAGGAAACUUGGAGAUUUGAUAGGGAAAAAAAUUAACAAAACAAGAUUCAUCUGAGAAAUGCAAAGUUACACGCCUCUGGGGGAAAUUAUUUUGAAGAUACCCAACUGGGGAAACAAAAUGUGUAAAGCUUGGAUCUGGAGUGAAAGCAGAGAGCAAAUUCUGUCUGGAUUGCAAGGUAUUACAGCAGCUACAGAGGAAGGCAAGAAUUCCCUCUUGGGGUUUCAAAUGCAGAGCUGCCUCAUUAUGAGACACUGACAAAGGAAUUCAUGCACCUCUUUACAAAUAGAAUAAGGUCCUUAUUACAAAUCUGAAUAAAUGGGUCUCAUCUGCACUGGAGAACACAUUCUGGGGGAGGUGAAUGUGCACAUGCAGUGGCACCCGUGACUCUUCUAUCAUUUCUAAUUGUACAAAAUGACAAGAACUUGACAUUAGCAAACUAAUUUUCAGGUCUUGAAGAACCAUUUAAUGGUAGGAUGUACUAUGUACCUGACAAUGUAUAAAGCUCUUUACAUAUUUAAGUCAUUAAAUAUUUGUAAGAAACUCUCAUCUACAUGACAGAUGAGGAAACUAAAUUGUGGAUGGCUAAAUGUCUUCCCCAAGGCCACACAUUGAGUAUGUGGUGAUUUUGGGAUUCAAACCUGUGUAAAUGAUUUUCUUACUUUGUUCCUCUUCGACACUGCCUUAACCCAGUUCUCUGUAAGUUGGCAGAUUAACUUCUAUGAAUGAGAUCGAAGAAUUAAUGACGUAUUCCUAGCCUCUGCUGUUUAUGCUAGCAUGUCCUGCUUCAGAGAGCUAGUUUCCCUCCAAGGGGAAACUGAGGCCUCUUGGACAUGGUAUCCAGGUUAUUUCUUGUGGCUCCUGUCCCUGAACAUUUGUGGUACUUGGGCAUUUGAGCAUCAGUGGACUUAAUAAACAGAUGAGACUAUGUAGAGCCUACAGAGAUCUAAUGAUCCCCACAGGAUUAUAGCUGAGAACCAGAAAUAUAGUUAAUUUUAGGAGAUUGCUCAAGAUAACUAGUCAAUAAUUUUUGAAAAUUAUUUCAUGCAUACAUAUAUGUUAUUUAUAAAAUGUUGGUUUCUCAAUGCCAUUUGGAUAUGGCAGAACUAUACAUCCAUGGGUGCCCAGAAGCUAUAGUUGCUCAUUAAAGGAUUCUUCAAUAUCAAGCCAGUCAAUAUUCUAGUAUGGAGGAAGGAAGGACCUUAUGAGCUUAAUUGAGGAGUUAUUGGCAGUUGAUAGUUUCUUUGAAAGGGAGACUUAGUUUUCUUUAAUGGUAUGGCCUUUGGCAGGCUAACCAUGCUCCAGGAGAGGGCCUCAUACCCAUGAACAUAUGGGUAGCACAAAUUGAAGUCAGUAAGUAAUUAAAAGAGUGGAAAGGCUGGAGACAUAGUGCAACACUUAAGAGCACUUUUUACUCUUGUAGAGGACCCAGGUUCCCAGCAUUCAUAUGGUGGUUUUCAACCAUCUGCAAUUCCAAUUAUAUGAGAUCUGAUGUCUUCUUCUGAAUUCCUUGGGCCCUAGACAUGCAUGUGGUGUACAUACAUGCACAGCAAAAAUUGUGUGUAUAAAAUAAAAAAAUAAAAAAGAUUUAUUUAAUAAAAAAGAGGAUUUGAAGUUGAGAGGGAGCUGGAAAGAGAGGGCUUGGAUCAGGGUGGGAGUAGAGGAAUGAAUGUCAUUGAAUGUGGUUAAACAUAUUUGCAUGUAUGAAAUGCUCAAAGAACUGUUAAAUUAAUGGUUUCUCUGGUGACACCUUUGCCUCUUCAGAAUCUUACUGAUAGGUGUCUCUACAGUUGUGUGUCGGAGUCAUUCAUAAGCUUAGGUUGAUCCUAAGAUGUCAGACUGUGCUGCUGUUUGUUUGUGUUUUAUCUUUCCUAGCCCGAGAUGCUCUCCAUUAGAACUACUAAUUUUAUCACACAGCAAAAACAGACAGCAUCUGGAAGCUCCUUGUCCAAGUCCAAGAGCAAUGAACCAUGAGUCUGUCUCCCAGCACUGGCAGCUUGGAGAUUCCCAGGGUCUGACCUGGUGUCAUGGUAUUAUCUCUCAUCCCAUCACUACCUUCUUAUUCUUCUCACUUGCAAAACUAUUUUACUGCUAAGUGCCAAAUUAUGUUUCCCUAAGGUUGAAGUGAAAGCCUCUGUUGGGAUUUUUUUUUUAUUACUACAGAGCAGGAAAAAUAUCCUGGGAUAUGGUGGUUUUCUUUAUUAUGCCUAAGGAACCCAAUGUAUCAACCAUUUCCUGAUUCUGCCCAUGUCCAAUCUUAUUUUGAGCAUUUCUGAGCUAUCAUGGAGAAGGGAAAAUGAAAUCAAGCAAGAAAAGGGGCCAAGAUUCCUUUGGCUGCACAGUAUGUUUUGUGCCUUCUUGGAAGGGCUUGGGACGAAUCCACUGGGAAGCUGAUUCAAAGGGCAUUGAGCUAACAGAUUACCCAGUACUCCUUCACCACAGGGGCUGUGUAAGCAUGCUCUUACUCUUUUGUAACUCUACAAAGAGCCAAGUCAAGCACUAUACACUGAGAGUUUAAGAUGAGAAAUAAAUUCACCCAGGAGCAGUUUUGGAUAAAGCAUAAACCAAUGGAAGUCAUUACUGCGGACUCAACUCUUUACACCCUAACAUUUGCCUUAAUUUAUUCCAGUUAUGUGGCAAACAUUUCUUGGGGGACAUUUGGGAUAGGCGUUAUGCUAGAUUUUGAGGAUUAUAAAUGAUUAAGAUAUGGUUCCUCUGUUAAUGAAGUCAGAACCUAAUAGGGAAAAAAGAGGAGCACACGGUAAUCUUGAUAUGCAUUUCUGGAUCUAGGAAUCAAGCACUAUCCUACCCAUGAGGAAGGGAGAAUUAAUUGUAUUUGGCUUUGGAGACAUGUGCAUUUAAGGCUGGCUUUGAAGGACAAGACAGUUUCUCAGUCUUUCAUUAGUUUGGGAUCCUGAAUAUAGCAAUCAAUUAAUAAAUGCUACUGUCUAAUAAUUCAGAUAAAAGGAAAAUAGGAUUUCUCGAAGGCUGAGUCAGUUGUUGCCCCCCAGGUGUCUGGAUUGAUCAGACAUAGUUUUAACAUGGCAUCAUUUGACCCAUAUGAACAUUCAGCAUUCCUGAGACCAUAAUACAGAUGAUAUAUAGGAAGAAAACUUGACAUAUUACAAAUGCCAACUUAGUUGUUGAAAUUGUCAUCUUUCCUAUAUUUUUUUCCUUAUGAGGGUUUUAUAUUAUUAGGCUUAGGGCCUUGACAUCACAUUUAUAAUAUAGUAAUACAACCCAAAGUACGUUCUGAUGAAUGACUAAAAUUUAUCACUGUGCCGACACUUAAUUUGGGCCCAGUGAGAAGUCAACUUAGAGCUAUAAGUUUUAGAUUUUAUAAUGAAAUUUUGAUUAAACUGGACUUUUCCCCUGGUGCCAUUUAUUUAUAGCACAGUAGUUAGAAAAUAAAUGGUGGGAACGCCACCACAAAUUCUGAAUAGUUAUCACCAACUCUAUAUUUAAUAGCAAUGGUUACAUUUCUUGCUGUAUUUAAUUUCUAUUGUCAGGCAUCCUAAGGCAAAUAAUAAAUAGUUUAAUGUUUGGAAAAAAUAGCUACUCCCAUUGACUAUUCUUGUCUUAAUCUAGAUAGCGUCUAGAUACCUGAAUGGAAAAGGAACAAAUUCUACCAUCCAUUGUUCUUUUCAAAAGGACCUGUGUUUGGAUGACUUAACAGACUAUCAAGUGACUUUGUCAGUUUCUAUUUAAACUUAGCACUGGGUGGUAAGCUUUGGUUGUUUAACAGGAGGAAGUAGUGAGUUCUAAUUUUCACCACCAGGUGGCAGGAGAGUACUGAAAGUAUGAAAUAGGCUCUAAUGAAAGGGUGCCUGUGAAACAUGUAUUUAUGAGAAGAAAAACAUUCUGAAGCAAGAAAUAAGAAAAUUAUAGAAGGAGUCAACUAAAAUCUAGUAAUCUUUGUGGCUCUGCAUCACAUUAAUUUUAGCUUUUCUAUAGUUGGUACAUUUCUUGCAAAUUUUGCCUUCAAACUAAAUAUGUAGUUUAUAAAGCAGGGAAAAAAAAAGGAGGUGGGGGACAACAACUGUUAACGGAGGGAAAUAAUCCUGUAUUUUAUUUUCAAAGAUAACAUGGAAUCUUAAGCAUUUGGCGUUGGUAGUGUUUUCUCAGGUUGACUGGCUGGCUGGCAGGAAAGUAAUUAUUUCCAAGACUGUAAAAAAGUAGAGAAGAGAUCCAUCCAAAUGCUUGUUUAUGCUUGGGUAUGUGUAUAGUAGACUUAUUUGAAGAGGUAAAUAUUUAAACCAUUCCUCUAGUUUUGCUUCCUGAGCCUUUUAUCAGCAGAGAAAAAUCAGGCAAGUCUACUUUUCAUCAAGUCUGACUCAAGAUUUUAUUUGGGAGACAUUUCCUAUUACAUUCACCAGAGUCACGUACCUCUUCUUUCACAGGCACCAGAAUCCUCUGGAGAAGUUGUGCAAACACAGGCAGGUGGGCCCCAGCAUUAGACUUUCUGAUUCCAUAGGUUUGGAGGAUGAGCUGAGAUACAGACUUCAAGUAAACUCAAAGCUCAUUUUCCAGUCAAACCAUCACUUGCUCAAGUUGGAAUUCCUUUUUGCUGGUAACACUCACUCAGCUAAAUUGGUUGGCAUACUUAGCCUAAGGAAGAAGCUUCAUGCAUAUGAGCUGGACAAUCCUGGAUGGACAUCACGACCCUUCUAGCAAAUUUCUGAAAAGCAUGUUUAUCCUAGAUCCUAGAUGGUUUGUAUGUAGUCCCAGGUGAUUCCAAUGUAUGGUCUGCAGUUUUAGCUUGAGUAAUCAUUCAUUCCCCAUGAUUAGAUAUGGUCUGAACUUGCUGGAUAUUCUCUUAACAUAAAGUAUAAGUCUAGGAUUCAAAGGGCCAUUUGGCACCACGACGGUUGUAGAGAGCCACAAUAAUAUUCGCCACCACAAGAUGGCGCUGGCUUCCACUGCGCCCCAUGUGGAAGGCCGAGAUAGUUUCGCCAUUACAAGAUGGCGCUGGCCUCUGCCGCGCCAGCCGACUUCCUUUCAGGAAGUCAACUGUGUGCGCAUGUGCAAGAGUGCCUUCGUGCCAGGUCUUUGCCCACUCUGGGGCGUGCCUAAUGAGAUCAUGGGUAAGCGACCAAUCAAAUGUGGAUGCGCCGCACUAGGGUGUAUAUAAGCCGCGCCAUGCUGGCGCCCUGCCGCCCUCUCUAUUAUUAAUAAAUAAUAAGCAUUUUGGCUACAGAAGGAUUCGUGUGUUCCCGCGUAUUCUUGCUGGCGAGAGAUCGCGCGGGACAGAUGGUGAAAUCAUGGUGUGUCUUAUGGAAGAACAGUGAACCAUUGUUCUAUCAAGUGAUAUUAUUCAAACUACUCCAAACAAGUCUUCUGCAUAGUCUAACAUCUAUUUGGAAGGUUAAUUCAUGAUUGUGGGUGCCAAUUAAAUUACAAUAAAACCUAGCCUAUUUUGACUGUCAACCUCAUCAAGAGAGUUUUUUUUCUUAAGAGAAAGGGGCUCCCAUUGUAGCCAUUCUAUUGAAAUAGUUAAUGCUAAGCUGUAAGUGUUGUGCACACAGCUCAUUUUGGGAAGUCACCCCUUGUUCCCUAUUGUUUCUGUAGCAUCACAUAAAAUUGACCUCAGUUCUCUGACUAUUGGAUUGGCUAUUUCUUGUCAUUUCCCUCCACCCUAUGCACACACUGGUACAGGCUGUGGGAUUUCAUUUCUGCAUCUCUCCACAUCUGUGUUGAUGAUUGUCCCUCUGUGGUUGGGAACUUUUGAUAUUGUCUCGGUAGAUACUUGGAGCUAGUGUUUGCUGCUGGGGGGAAAGUUUCUACAGUUGCUGCAUUGCUUAGCUGAAGUGCUAGCUUGUCCACAUUCAGGCUCAGUGGAGACCAAAUGAAGGCAAGAUCCCCUGCUUUGUGCAGCUUUUGUUGGCUUCCUUGCCCUUUGAUACCUAUAAACUGAUUGAGAACAGCCUUAUUGUAGGAAGCAGCCGUUGCUUUACUCUGCCCCCUCCCACCUUCUCUGAAGGCUUAAAUAGAUCAUAAGCAGAAGUUAAUUGGAGAUAAAAGUUUAUAGUUAAGCAAGCAGGUUGUAGCACAAUAUCCAUAUAAUCUAAAGUAACUGGGGCACUCUCAGGGUCAUUGAAAUGUACAAAGGUAUUCUUCCAAUGCAUUUUAAAACCUAGACAAAUUGUGUGUCAUAUAAAAUGCAUUAUAAAGGUUCCAAUUGAGUCAUUGGAUUAAAUGAGCCUUUCAAUACCUUGCAGAGGAAAGAAUAAGGUAUUUGGUGUGAUGGAGUAGUUCAUGCCUGGCUACCUACUUACAUGGCACAGUGUUCUUCUGGGGAGGCUUUACUUUAGAGAAAUAAAAAGAAAUAAACCAAUGAACUCUGAACUCUGUGUAGAUUUAAGUGUCCUUUUUAAAGAACAAGAUUUUCAGGGUAUUUAUUUCUAACAAGGAAGAUGAUAAAGAUCCCACGUCCUUUUGACAUAUUACUAAGUGCCACCUAACCUAGCGCUCCUGAAUACAGUAGCCUCUCCCCAUCCAAGCACUGGUCAUUCACCCACUAACCACUAUCUGAAUUCCCUCUUUUCUACUCAACAGAAUGUAAUAGAAUUACAUUCUAUUAAUGUACAAUGAAUGCAAGCUGGGGGCUAACCCCUGCCAGUGAGCUAUACAGACAACACAGAGGAUGCAACAUGUGUAUGUUUAAUAUUUUUAUCUCAAUCUAUUUAAAAGAAUCUGUCAAUGUGAAACCAUUUUUAUAGUUGCUUACUAACAUGAGUUCAAGCUGAUCCUUAGAUACUAACCUAAUUUGUGCAACAUCUCACUUUUCCCUCCAUUGAGGAUACCUCGUGAGAGAAUGGUCUGAGCCUACCCUGCAUGCCUGCAGUCCAUCAUCUCACUGGAUAACUCUGCCUCUCCCUGAUUUUCCAUAAUAUCUUUAGUUCAUUUUCCCACCCUAGAGGUAGCAUCAUCUUUAGGUAUAUUUGCUAAUUCAUCUGUAUAGCUAUGCCAUGAUUAUUUCUCAUAGAAUUUAAAGUUUCCAAAAUUAGAUUUGAUUUUGCUAACAUGAUAUUCCUAGUUGGUGGUGAUGACAAGUUAAAAUAAGAGGAAAAAAAAUCUCAAAGUGCUUUACAUUGAGUGGAGAUAAUACCUAAAUAGAGUUUAUAUCAUAUUACCAUUUAUGAAAGAACUUCUUCAAAAUAAUACCUAUGCAUGGAUAGAAUUAAAUUUGUUAAAAAUUGCUUAAAUCUUGGAACUCUCCAAGUUUUUAUUGAGCAACUAGUUUGUGUUUCACAUUGAUGUAGAUCUUCCAGGUUGGGUUUUUUCAUUCCGGUAUCACUUGUGCAAUCCCCAUAAUUUCUUGCUGGUCCUGGAAAUGGGGAGGAGAGAAAACCACCUGGAGAGUUGUGUAUGUGGAAGGUUGCUGUGGCAGAGUAGUGGUGGCUGCAUAGCUCAGAGUAGCAGAAUAAGCCACUUCAGCCAGGACCAAGCAGCUACUGCCAGAGAGGAUGAUCUUAAGACAUCAGAUAGCAGAGCAUUAAGCAAUGCAAAAGAAGGCUGGCCACAAAUCCCACCAUAUGACAAAUUUAACAGCAAAUACCAGAAAAUGCCCAGAAACAGGUGGUCUAGUGGCACAUCUUGUCAGAUCAAGAGACUCACCUUUCCUUGAACAUGGGGCAAGUGUUGUGUGGAUAAAACAUUGUUAAAAUUCAGUUAAAACCCACCACUUUUACUCUCUACUGCUGUGUCAACUGCCUUGAGCAAAAGCAUCUGCCUGAUAGCCAGUCAUCUUAAGUACUCCAUGGUUGCCUUGAGACGAGCAUGGAGAUGAUUGAAGCUGCUUGCUCAGGUCCACACAGGACUGGACAUUUGUCACCAGCUUUUCUGACAUCACAUACCUUGCUGCCUCCUAGGAUUAACGGCAAGGCUUUGAUUGGAUGAUCCAGCUCACAAGCCUUAUUGAUUUGGUUAGUCCACAAUGAAUGGCUAUAAUUGUCCAAAUGGCUAUGGUUGAUUGAGACGCCCCAUUUUGGCUUUAUAAUAAGGCUUCUCAGUGAAGGCCCACAGACAGACUCUUGUGUUUCCUCUUCUUGUCUUGCAAUAUCAGUUUGAACAAUGACUUCUGGGCUAGUCUUUCCUAGCCUAGGGUGAGUUGCAUGAGUUGAGCUGGAAACUGAAAAAGGAGCAGCAGAGGUUAGAGACAGCAGUGAGGCAGGCAAGCACAGUAGAGGUUUCUUGACAGUGAACCAGCACCCACCUUGGGCAGGCAGGGCUUGGCUGUGGUUCACUGAUAAAGCUCCCCCUGCUGCUGAGGUGACCUUUUAUCUCAGUUACGGUGUUCAUUACUCACCAGCUUGGGAGUUUAAGAUCACUUAAGUACCCCAUCAAUGGAUCUGGUGGUCUGGAACUACCAUUUUGCCUUCCUCUGGAUGGAAUAUCUUGGAACUGUUACUUGAUAGGUAGGAGUUUUGGUGGUCUUGGAGAUGAUUUAAGUGGCUGAUGCUUGGCUUCUGAUACCCAAGGAGACUGAGGCUGAGAUGUGGAAAAGCUGGUAAUGGCACAGGGGAUCUGGGUCUUAGUCUCUGGCUUCCCAGAACAAAUCAAUGACUAGACGCUAGACAGCCAAGGAAGUAGCUGAACUUAUGUGGAGACUUUGGUCUGUGAAUUAGCAGUGUCCAUAGGCUGGAAUCUACUGGAGGCAACAGUGUUGCACAGUACCAUGGACUGACCACUAGUCCUAUUCAUCCAAGCCAUUCAUUCCUCCAGUGGGUGGGGAUACCUGCGCUGAUACACUCUGCUCCCAAGAACCCAAUUUCUGAACAACCCUCAUGGUGUCCUGGCUCCUGAAUUAUGUCUUGAUAGAGGCCAGUACAUAAAAUCAUCAUGGACUGGCCACUGACAGUCGAAUGAGGAACAGGGCAGGAAGAAAGGAAGAUCAGAGAGCUGCUAAGAAGGCAGAGAGCUGCUAGAAGUAUGUAAAGAUUCUACAGCCAUAGCACCCUGAACAUGCUAGAUCUCAUCUGAUCUGGGAAACCAAGCAGAUUUGUACUUGGAUGAGAGAAGGCUGUAACCAGAGAAGAAAACCUGCAAGUUCUUGUUACCAGAAAAUUUGCAAAGAGCUUUAGAUUUCACGGUCAAGGAUUUUAGGGCCUGGGUGAUUUCUUAACUGUGGCCACUGCCAAAGGCAUAGGAUAUUGAUAUUUGAAGACUGAAUAGGGUACUGUAACAUUUGUAGGCCUAAGGGUCUUGACACCUGAGGUCCACAUAAGGAACUGUGACUUUAUCUGGUCAAGGACCCUGAAGCUGGCACAAGAGCUGUGACAUUAAAGGGUGCCACUUGCACUGCUGCUUCUGCCUUCUGUUCAAUGUCAGCUCACUGUCAGACACCAGGAGAGGUGGAAGCUUCUGGAGAGCAGCAUUUGAGGAGGUCUAGUCUGCCCAUCAGGCAAGCAGAGCAGAAGUGCCCGUAGCCAGCUGACUUGGUCACAGCUAUGAUUGUCAUCCCAGCAAAAGCUUACGUUGAGAAUGUAAAUCUGAGGCCUCUUUCUCCUGCUUGGGAGGACACAGAAAACACAAUUACAUCUAGUUGUCCUUUUGGGGAAAAGAAAGGAGAGAAAGCUGGACAUUUAUUCAAAAAAAGACAGUAUUCUCCAGAGAAUUAGAUUCAUUUGUAAGAGAGGAGUGAACUCAGUUCUUAUUACCCUCAGCAGGUGGGUGCUAAUGAGGAAAAUUAGAUUGUUACAGGCAAAAUAAAGAAGCUAAUUUUUUCCUGUACAUUUGUGUGAUGUGGGAGAAGCCUAGAAAACCUCUCUUACAUGUGUGCGUGUAAGAGAGGGGUGAGGGGUGGAGGUCUUACCCGAAAACAAAGAGGAAGUAGUGACAGGAAAGGAAAAAAAAAAAAACUGGAGCAAAUGCUUGGGUGGUUCUGGCAAAUAGUGACCAUGACCUUGAUACUAAACUGGCUCCCACUGCAUGUGAAUAUUAUUGUCUGUCAGAAAUAUGAGAAUGGGAAAGGGGAUCACCAAAACUGUAAGCAAAACAUAAGGAACACACAGAAAAAAACCCUUCCAACACUGCUCCGAACAUCAUGAAAAACUAUGCUGAAGAAAUAUUCUGGGAUGUGCCAUGAAAUGUGCGUAAGUGACAAAAACUUUUAAAGUGCUUGCUGAUGAGCUCAGACACAAGAGUCAUGAGCACAGAACCAGACUGUUUUCAGUGCUUAGCACACAAAGGGGAGUAGUUAGGGGUAGGCUGGUAGAGGAAGGGGCCAAGCUGGAAGUGGGGCACAGAGGCCCCUAUGCUUCAGUGGAUGCAGAAACUUACAUUUGAAUGUAGUUCACUUUAUUUUUCAGCUCCUCAUUGGCUUCUCCUGAUGGUAGCUUCAUUUUCUAGACGCAAUCCUAGGCAUCCUGUGGGAAAGCAAUUCCAGAACACCUAAGUUUGGAAACUGUCCUGUGCUAUAGGUUGCUUGAUGGUUUGUCUGGGAAUGACUUCUGUAGGCUCAUAUGGUCUUUUGAGUUUUUGGUGGCCUAUUCUUAGAAGAUAGUUCUGAUCUCACCUUUUGUUUUCUGAGAAAAUUAUCAUAAAAUCAGGAAACAUGUAUUACUUGCUUGCUCUCGAGUACAUUCCAAGAUCUACAAUUUGCCAUGAGGUUCCUGUCAGAACUGAGCUGUCCUUGAAUUCCCAAAACUAUGAGUUGGAAGAAACUUUCUCUGUGUAACUUUUUCUCUUUUUAUGUAUCUAUAGUGAUAAAAACUAGAGAGUAAAUCUCAUAUCAAAUGCCACAUCACCCAAUUCAUGAAGAAAUAUAAUAUAUGUACAUUAAAACUAAAAAAAUUCUAUUGUAAAAAAAUUGGGUCAUUGAUUACUCAACACAGCAGGUUUUGAGCCAGUGAUCAAUGGAGCACUUAAAAGAAACCUAAAAGUAGUGUUUUGUUUCUCCUGUUUUCAAUGUGCCCCAAUUCCUUGCCUGAGAGCUAUAAAUCCUUCGUGCCCCAGUCCUGUCUUGGAAAUGCAUGUUCUCAGCAUUUUCUGACCUAUUACAUUCUUUUAGACUCACCCAAUUCCUCCUAUUUUGCAGAUCAGGGAAGAAUUUGUUAUUCUGUUUGUCUUUGACGAACCUUCAUAAUAUAUAUUUAUGGUGAUUGGGUUUUCACUGUUCUUUGAGUUCCUUAAGGGUAGAAUACUUCAUUAAUUUAUUUUUCUGUCACCUAAGGAAGUAUCUAGCACAUAGCAACAACUUAUAUGCUAGAUAACUUGAUCUCUACAAAUAACAAUGGUAGAGGAGUGAGAAAUGAAAUGGGAGGACAAGACCAGAAGUAAGAAGAUGUAAGGCAAACCAUUGUUGUUGUUAGAAUUUGGGUUUGUGAUAAGGUAGUAAGAAUGGUGACAAAAGAUUUAUUGACCAUCUAAGAUCAAAAACUCAGGUGACAGCAGAUGCUGGUGAGGGUGGGGAGAAAGAGGAAAACUCCACCAUUGUUGGUGUGAUUGCAAGCUGAUACAACCAUUCUGGAAAUCAGUCUGGAGGUUCCUCAGAAAACUGGACAUAGUACUACCUGAGAACCCAGCUAUAUCGCUCCUGGGCAUAUACCCAAAAGAUACCCCAACAUAUAACAAGGACACAUGCUCCACUAUGUUCACAGCAGCCUUAUUUAUAAUAGCCAGAAGCUGGAAAGAACCCAGAUGUCCUUCAACAGAGGAAUGGAUACAGAAAAUGUGGUACAUCUAUACAAUGAAAUACUAUUCAACUAUUAAAAACAAUGACUUCAUGAAAUUCUUAGGCAACUGGAUGGAACUCGAAAAUAUCUUUAGUGAGGUAAUCCAAUCACAAAAGAACUCACUAAUAUGUGGAUAUUAGCUUGGAAUACAUAAAAUAAAAUUCAUAGACCAUAUGAAGCUCAAGAGGAAGGAAAACCAAAAUGUGGAUGCUUCAGUCCUUCUUAGAAGGGGGAACAAAAUAUUCACGGGAGAAAAUAUAGGCACAAAGAGUGGAGCAGAGACUGAAGGAAAGGCCAUCCAGAGACUGCCCUGCGUGGGGAUCCAUCCCAUAUACAGUCACCAAACCCAGUCACUAUUGCUGAUGCCAAGAAGUGCUUACCUGAUAUGGAGCCUAAUGUGGAUGUCUCCUGAGAGGCUCUGCCAGAGCCCUACUGAUACAGAUGAGGAUGCUUGCAUCGAACCAUCAGACUGAGCUCGGAGACCCCCAAAUGGAGGAGUUAAGAGAAAGAACCGAAGGAACUGAAGGGGUUUGCAACCCCAUAGGAAGAACAACAAUAUCAAUCAACGAGACCUUACAGAGAUCCCAGGGACUAAACUACCAACCAAAGAGUACACAUGGGGCUACCCAUGACUCCAGCUGCAUAUGUAGCAGAGGAUGUCAUUGUCUGGCAUCAAUAGGAGGAAAAGUCCUCGGUCCUGUGAAGGCUCGUUUUCCCAGUGUAGGGGAA